GAAAUUAUUGGAAGCAAAACUAUGGUGGUCCUGUUUAGAUGGCAUGUGAAAAGAAAACUGAAGUAGAAACAGAAGAUGAAAAGAAAGUUUACUUUGUUUGGGCUGAGUUUCCACUUGACAGAUAACUUAGAAUUCCUGGGAGAUCAGAGUAAGCAGUGGAAUGGAGAAUCUUGGAUAAUCUUGACUUUGGAAAUUACACAGAGAGUUGCAAAUCAGAAAGAUUCAUAAAUUGUUG
rnacentral:lncRNA from 1 species